rnacentral:rRNA from 1 species
AUACGUAGGGGGCAAGCGUUGUCCGGAUUUAUUGGGCGUAAAGCGCUCGCAGGUGGUUCGUCGCGUCGUGCGUGAAAGACCCUGGCUCAACUGGGGGAUGUCGUGCGAUACGGGCGAACUGGAGGCCAGUAGGGGGAUGCGGAAUUCCGGGUGUAGUGGUGGAAUGCGUAGAGAUCCGGAGGAACACCAGCGGCGAAGGCGGCAUCCUGGACUGGUCCUGACACUCAGGAGCGAAAGCGUGGGGAGCGAUCC